GUUGAAAAUUGUUCAGCCCCUGUGAGGUUACACAACCUAAAGGCAUGAAGAUAGUACCAUGAGAGCCAGAUGAGUCUGUGACAUCUGCGAUGUCAGCUUGGCUGCGAUGCCAUUUGACUUGUGUUUGAUAACUGCACAAGGGUUACUUUCUGCGUAGCCAAAGGGAAGAGAGUGUUCUUCAGAUGCCUCUGUUUAAGAUGCCCAGAUUCUGCGCUCCUGACUAUCCCGACGCCGUGAGCACAUGUUUACACUACCGUCAGAGGAAGUAUCUCACCGAAGGCGCAGAAAGGCGGGGGCACUUGGUUUUGUCCUUCUGAAUAUGUCACCAUCACAAUCCGGCCUGGGGAUGGCGGGACUCAACCCAGAGAUGUUUUUGUGAUCAGGAAGUCUCUUCACGGCCGGAGAUAUCCUUGGGGAGGACCCCACAGAAAAGUGUUUUCUCCUGCUGAAGAGAAAAAAUGUAAUUAGAAAAAAAAAAAAAAAAAACAUGGACAUUUCCCCUUCAUCGCUCUGCCCCAGGGAACUGUAAAUUCUGGUGUGCAUUGUUAUGCAGAAAACAUUUUGCUCUGCCUAGCUCCUACACCCAUAUUUGCACCUGUAAACUUGCAGUCCAUCAUGCACUGUCAGUUCACAGCACAGCCAGCUCACAGCUACCAGGAUGCACUUCCCCAAAUUCAUUCACUCAGUAAUUAUUCAAUGUGCCACUACCAUGUCCCAGGCGGGAUGCAGCUACAUGCAGAAGAAAGGAAGACAACAAAGGUUUCCAGGAGCUUCUAUGCCAGUCCCUCAGCCCAUCAAAAGGCAAUUUCAAAUUGUAAUAAAUAUUACAAAGAAAAUAACAA